GACGAACGCUGGCGGCGUGCUUAACACAUGCAAGUCGAACGGAAAGGCCCUGCUUUUGUGGGAUUCUCGAGUGGCGAACGGGUGAGUAACACGUGAGUAAUCUGCCCUUGAAUUUGGGAUAACUUCAGGAAACUGGGGCUAAUACCGGAUAGGAGCUCCUGCUUCAUGGUGGGGGUUGGAAAGUUUCGGCGGUGGGGGAUGGACUCGCGGCUUAUCAGCUUGUUGGUGGGGUUGUGUCUUAACAAGGCUUUGACGGGUAGCCGGCCUGAGAGGGUGACCGGCAACAUUGGGACUGAGAUACGGCCCAGACUCCUACGGGAGGCAGCAGUGGGGAAUAUUGCACAAUGGGCGGAAGCCUGAUGCAGCAACGCCGCGUGCGGGAUGAAGGCCUUCGGGUUGUAAACCGCUUUCGCCUGUGACGAAGCGUGAGUGACGGUAAUGGGGAAAGAAGCACCGGCUAACUACGUG
rnacentral:rRNA from 1 species